UUAAGCGACCAAGCGUACACGGUGGAUGCCCUGGCAGUCAGAGGCGAUGAAGGACGUGCUAAUCUGCGAAAAGCGCCGGCGAGGUGAUAUGAACCCUUGACCCGGCGAUGUCCGAAUGGGGAAACCCAGUGUGAUUCGUCACACUAUCGUUAGCUGAAUACAUAGGCUAACGAGGCGAACCGGGGGAACUGAAACAUCUAAGUACCCCGAGGAAAAGAAAUCAACCGAGAUUCCCCCAGUAGCGGCGAGCGAACGGGGAGGAGCCCAGAGCCUGAAUCAGCUUGUGUGUUAGUGGAAGCGUCUGGAAAGUCGCACGGUACAGGGUGAAAGUCCCGUACACGAAAACGCACAGGCUGUGAGCUCGAUGAGUAGGGCGGGACACGUGGUAUCCUGUCUGAAUAUGGGGGGACCAUCCUCCAAGGCUAAAUACUCCUGACUGACCGAUAGUGAACCAGUACCGUGAGGGAAAGGCGAAAAGAACCCCGGCGAGGGGAGUGAAAAAGAACCUGAAACCGUGUACGUACAAGCAGUGGGAGCCUCUUUUAUGGGGUGACUGCGUACCUUUUGUAUAAUGGGUCAGCGACUUAUAUUCUGUAGCAAGGUUAACCGUAUAGGGGAGCCGAAGGGAAACCGAGUCUUAACUGGGCGUUAAGUUGCAGGGUAUAGACCCGAAACCCGGUGAUCUAGCCAUGGGCAGGUUGAAGGUUGGGUAACACUAACUGGAGGACCGAACCGACUAAUGUUGAAAAAUUAGCGGAUGACCUGUGGCUGGGGGUGAAAGGCCAAUCAAACCGGGAGAUAGCUGGUUCUCCCCGAAAGCUAUUUAGGUAGCGCCUCGUGAAUUCAUCUCCGGGGGUAGAGCACUGUUUCGGCUAGGGGGCCAUCCCGGCUUACCAACCCGAUGCAAACUGCGAAUACCGGAGAAUGUUAUCACGGGAGACACACGGCGGGUGCUAACGUCCGUCGUGAAGAGGGAAACAACCCAGACCGCCAGCUAAGGUCCCAAAGUCAUGGUUAAGUGGGAAACGAUGUGGGAAGGCCCAGACAGCCAGGAUGUUGGCUUAGAAGCAGCCAUCAUUUAAAGAAAGCGUAAUAGCUCACUGGUCGAGUCGGCCUGCGCGGAAGAUGUAACGGGGCUAAACCAUGCACCGAAGCUGCGGCAGCGACGCUUAUGCGUUGUUGGGUAGGGGAGCGUUCUGUAAGCCGUUGAAGGUGUGCUGUGAGGCAUGCUGGAGGUAUCAGAAGUGCGAAUGCUGACAUAAGUAACGAUAAAGCGGGUGAAAAGCCCGCUCGCCGGAAGACCAAGGGUUCCUGUCCAACGUUAAUCGGGGCAGGGUGAGUCGACCCCUAAGGCGAGGCCGAAAGGCGUAGUCGAUGGGAAACAGGUUAAUAUUCCUGUACUUGGUGUUACUGCGAAGGGGGGACGGAGAAGGCUAUGUCGGCCGGGCGACGGUUGUCCCGGUUUAAGCAUGUAGGCGGAGGUUCCAGGUAAAUCCGGUACCUUAUUAAACGCUGAGGUGUGAUGACGAGGCACUACGGUGCUGAAGUGACAAAUGCCCUGCUUCCAGGAAAAGCCUCUAAGCAUCAGGUAACACGAAAUCGUACCCCAAACCGACACAGGUGGUCAGGUAGAGAAUACCAAGGCGCUUGAGAGAACUCGGGUGAAGGAACUAGGCAAAAUGGUGCCGUAACUUCGGGAGAAGGCACGCUGAUAUGUAGGUGAAGUGAUUUACUCAUGGAGCUGAAAUCAGUCGAAGAUACCAGCUGGCUGCAACUGUUUAUUAAAAACACAGCACUGUGCAAACACGAAAGUGGACGUAUACGGUGUGACGCCUGCCCGGUGCCGGAAGGUUAAUUGAUGGGGUUAUCCCUCGGGAGAAGCUCUUGAUCGAAGCCCCGGUAAACGGCGGCCGUAACUAUAACGGUCCUAAGGUAGCGAAAUUCCUUGUCGGGUAAGUUCCGACCUGCACGAAUGGCGUAAUGAUGGCCAGGCUGUCUCCACCCGAGACUCAGUGAAAUUGAACUCGCUGUGAAGAUGCAGUGUACCCGCGGCAAGACGGAAAGACCCCGUGAACCUUUACUAUAGCUUGACACUGAACACUGGUCCUUGAUGUGUAGGAUAGGUGGGAGGCUUUGAAGUGCGGACGCCAGUCUGCAUGGAGCCGCCCUUGAAAUACCACCCUUUAAUGGCUGGUGUUCUAACGUGGGCCCGUAAUCCGGGUUGCGGACAGUGUCUGGUGGGUAGUUUGACUGGGGCGGUCUCCUCCUAAAGAGUAACGGAGGAGCACGAAGGUCAGCUAAUCCUGGUCGGACAUCAGGAGGUUAGUGCAAUGGCAUAAGCUGGCUUGACUGCGAGCGUGACGGCGCGAGCAGGUGCGAAAGCAGGUCAUAGUGAUCCGGUGGUUCUGAAUGGAAGGGCCAUCGCUCAACGGAUAAAAGGUACUCCGGGGAUAACAGGCUGAUACCGCCCAAGAGUUCAUAUCGACGGCGGUGUUUGGCACCUCGAUGUCGGCUCAUCACAUCCUGGGGCUGAAGUAGGUCCCAAGGGUAUGGCUGUUCGCCAUUUAAAGUGGUACGCGAGCUGGGUUUAGAACGUCGUGAGACAGUUCGGUCCCUAUCUGCCGUGGGCGCUGGAGAACUGAGGGGGGCUGCUCCUAGUACGAGAGGACCGGAGUGGACGCAUCACUGGUGUUCGGGUUGUCAUGCCAAUGGCACUGCCCGGUAGCUAAAUGCGGAAGAGAUAAGUGCUGAAAGCAUCUAAGCACGAAACUUGCCCCGAGAUGGGUUCUCCCUGACUCCUUGAGAGUCCUGAAGGAACGUUGAAGACGACGACGUUGAUAGGCCGGGUGUGUAAGCGCAGCGAUGCGUUGAGCUAACCGGUACUAAUGAACCGUGAGGCUUAACCUU
rnacentral:rRNA from 1 species